AACGAACGCUGGCGGCAGGCUUAACACAUGCAAGUCGAGCGCCCCGCAAGGGGAGCGGCAGACGGGUGAGUAACGCGUGGGAAUUUACCCAUCUCUACGGAAUAACGCAUGGAAACGUGUGCUAAUACCGUAUACGUCCUUCGGGAGAAAGAUUUAUCGGAGAUGGAUGAGCCCGCGUUGGAUUAGCUAGUUGGUGGGGUAAAGGCCUACCAAGGCGACGAUCCAUAGCUGGUCUGAAAGGAUGAUCAGCCACACUGGGACUGAGACACGGCCCAGACUCCUACGGGAGGCAGCAGUGGGGAAUAUUGGACAAGGGGCGCAAGCCUGAUCCAGCCAUGCCGCGUGAGUGAUGAAGGCCCUAGGGUUGUAAAGCUCUUUCACCGGUGAAGAUAAUGACGGUAACCGGAGAAGAAGCCCCGGCUAACUUCGUGCCAGCAGCCGCCGUAACAC
rnacentral:rRNA from 1 species